rnacentral:rRNA from 1 species
GACGAACGCUGGCGGCGUGCCUAAUACAUGCAAGUCGAGCGAAGUUUUUCUGGUGCUUGCACUAGAAAAACUUAGCGGCGAACGGGUGAGUAACACGUAAAGAACCUGCCUCAUAGACUGGGACAACUAUUGGAAACGAUAGCUAAUACCGGAUAACAGUAUUUCUCGCAUGAGAGAUAUUUAAAAGUUGGUUAUGCUAACACUAUGAGAUGGCUUUGCGGUGCAUUAGCUAGUUGGUGGGGUAAAGGCCCACCAAGGCGACGAUGCAUAGCCGACCUGAGAGGGUGAUCGGCCACACUGGGACUGAGACACGGCCCAGACUCCUACGGGAGGCAGCAGUAGGGAAUCUUCCGCAAUGGGCGAAAGCCUGACGGAGCAACGCCGCGUGAGUGAAGAAGGAUUUCGGUUCGUAAAGCUCUGUUGUUAGGGAAGAAUGGAUAUGUAGUAACUAUACAUGUAAGAGACGGUACCUA